rnacentral:tRNA from 1 species
CAAAUUAAAAUUUUAAAUUUAUUUUUUACACGAAUAAGGUAGCUUAUUAAUAAGCUAAUUUGA